rnacentral:rRNA from 1 species
GGUCAAGUUAGUAAGGGCAUACGGUGGAUGCCUGGGCGCCAGAGGCCGAAGAAGGACGUGGCAAGCUGCGAAAAGCCGCGGGGAGCUGCAAGCAAGCUGGGAUCCGCGGAUUUCCGAAUGGGGGAACCCGGCCGGCGUAAUGGCCGGUCACCGUACACUGAACACAUAGGUGUACGGGGGGAACCCGGGGAACUGAAACAUCUUAGUACCCGGAGGAGAAGAAAUCAAAACGGGGUCCCCAAAAAAGCGUGCUUUUUUUGGGGAUAAAAGUGAGAUUCCCUGAGUAGCGGCGAGCGAAAGGGGAGGAGCCCAAACCGCAUACGUGUAGAAGGUGGCAGCCGUUGCGUAUGCGGGGUAGGAGGCCGUACGGAGGGGUACACUGCCAUGUACCCGGCAGUGAAGCGUAAUAGGAGAAGGAGUUGGGAAACUCCGCCAUAGAAGGUGAAAGCCCUGUAUCCGAAAUUACGCGUAGCUGCAGCGUACGAGCCUGAGUACCAUGGGGCACGUGGAACCCUAUGGGAAGCAGGGGGGACCACCCUCCAAGGCUAAAUACCCGCUGGCGACCGAUAGAGGACGAGUACCGUGAGGGAAAGGUGAAAAGCACCCCGGGAGGGGAGUGAAAUAGGACCUGAAACCGUAUGCCUACAAGCAGUCGGAGGGCGAUGGAAGCCUGACGGCGUACUUUUUGUAGAACGGGCCGGCGAGUUGCUGUACGCAGCGAGGUUAAGGCUGUGAGGGCCGGAGCCGAAGCGAAAGCGAGUCCGAAGAGGGCGGAAGUUGCGUGCAGCAGACCCGAAACCGGGUGAUCUACCCAUGGCCAGGGUGAAAGCUGGGUAAGACCAGCUGGAGGCCCGAACCGACCGUCGUUGAAAAGGCGGCGGAUGAGCUGUGGGUAGGGGUGAAAUGCCAAUCGAACCCGGAGAUAGCUGGUUCUCCCCGAAAUAGGUAUAGGCCUAGCCUCUGCUGGGUAGCUACAGGGGGUAGAGCACUGAUUGGGCUAGGGGCCUUCACGGGUUACCGAACCCAGUUAAACUCCGAAUACCUGUAGCUGAGAGGCAGGGAGUCAGACCAUGGGGGAAAAGCUUCAUGGUCGAGAGGGGAACAGCCCAGACCGACAGUUAAGGUCCCAAAGGGCGUGCUAAGUGGGGAAGGAUGUGGAGUUGCGAAGACAACUAGGAUGUUGGCUUAGAAGCAGCCAUCAUUUAAAGAGUGCGUAAUAGCUCACUAGUCGAGUGACUCUGCGCCGAAAAUGUAGCGGGGCUCAAGCACGCCACCGAAACUUCGGCAUACUGGCGGGAGCCAGUAUGGGUAGGGGAGCGUUCUUACCUGGGGGAAGCGUAACCGGGAGGUUACGUGGACAGGUAGGAAGUGAGAAUGCCGGCAUAAGUAAGCGAGAAGGCAGGUGAGAAUCCUGCCCGCCGGAAGCCUAAGGUUUCCUGGGGAAGGCUCGUCCGCCCAGGGUAAGCCGGGACCUAAGCCGAGGCCGAGAGGCGUAGGUGAUGGGGAAGGGGUUGAGAAUCCCCUGCCACCCGAGCCCGUUAGAGGGAAGGGGUGACGCAGAAGGAUAGGUUGAGCGCGCGGCUGGAAAAGCGCGUCCAAGCCUGUAGGGAGUGGGAUAGGGAAAUCCGUCCCACGGAAAGCCCGAGAGGUGAAGGGGAGGGAAGAAAAGUACCGAAGCAACCGAAUCCAUGCUGCCGAGAAAAGCCUCUACCGAGGGCGAGGGUGCCCGUACCGCAAACCGACACAGGUAGGCGAGGAGAGAAUCCACAGGCGCGCGAGAGAACCCUCGUUAAGGAACUCGGCAAAAUGACCCUGUAACUUCGGGAGAAGGGGUGCCCCGGUAGGGUGAAGGUUGGGAGCGACCGGAGCCCGAGGGGGUCGCAGAGAAGAGGCCCAAGCGACUGUUUACCAAAAACACAGGUCUCUGCUAAAGCGGAAGCUGAAGUAUAGGGGCUGACGCCUGCCCGGUGCUGGAAGGUUAAGGGGAAGGGUUAGCCGGAAGGCGAAGCUCUGAACCGAAGCCCCAGUAAACGGCGGCCGUAACUAUAACGGUCCUAAGGUAGCGAAAUUCCUUGUCGGGUAAGUUCCGACCCGCACGAAAGGCGUAACGACUUGGGCGCUGUCUCGACGAGGGGCUCGGUGAAAUUGUAGUACCUGUGAAGAUGCAGGUUACCCGCGAUAGGACAGAAAGACCCCGUGGAGCUUUACUGUAGCCUGGCAUUGAAUUUUGGUGGGGUAUGUACAGGAUAGGUGGGAGGCGGAGAAGGUAGGGCGCCAGCCUUACUGGAGCCGGCGGUGGGAUACCACCCUUACGUCACUGAAGUUCUAACCUGCUGCCCUGAAACGGGUGGGGGGACAGUGUCAGGUGGGCAGUUUGACUGGGGCGGUCGCCUCCCAAAGGGUAACGGAGGCGUCCAAAGGUACCCUCAGCGCGGAUGGAAAUCGCGCGGCGAGUGCAAAGGCAUAAGGGUGCUUGACAGCGAGACCGACGGGUCGAGCUGGGUGGAAACACGGGCUUAGUGAUCCGGUGGUACCGAGUGGAAGGGCCAUCGCUCAACGGAUAAAAGCUACCCCGGGGAUAACAGGCUGAUCCCGCCCAAGAGUCCACAUCGACGGCGGGGUUUGGCACCUCGAUGUCGGCUCAUCGCAUCCUGGGGCUGAAGUAGGUCCCAAGGGUUGGGCUGUUCGCCCAUUAAAGCGGUACGUGAGCUGGGUUCAGAACGUCGUGAGACAGUUCGGUCCCUAUCCAUCGCGGGCGGAGGAAACUUGAGGGGGACUGUCCUUAGUACGAGAGGACCGGGAUGGACGCACCGCUGGUGAACCAGUUGUCUCGCCAGGGGCACCGCUGGGUAGCCAAGUGCGGAAUGGAUAAGCGCUGAAAGCAUCUAAGCGCGAAGCCAGCCCCGAGAUGAGGUUUCCCAUCUGGAGCAAUCCAGAGUAAGACCCCGGAGAGAAGAUCCGGUAGAUAGGCCGGGCGUGUAAGCCGAGCAAUCGGUUGAGCGGACCGGUACUAAUAGGUCGAGGACUUGACCUU